CCUACGGGUGGCUGCAGUGGGGAAUAUUGCACAAUGGGCGAAAGCCUGAUGCAGCAACGCCGCGUGAAGGAAGAAGGGUUUCGGUACGUAAACCUCUAUCAACAGGGACGAAAGAAAUGACGGUACCUGAAUAAGAAGCCCCGGCUAACUACGUGCCAGCAGCCGCGGUAAUACGUAGGGGGCAAGCGUUAUCCGGAAUUACUGGGUGUAAAGGGUGAGUAGGCGGCAAGGGAAGUCUGAAGUGAAAGCCUUGGGCUUAACCCGAGGAUUGCUCUUGAAACUAUCAAGCUAGAGUACAGGAGAGGAAGGCGGAAUUCCUAGUGUAGCGGUGAAAUGCGUAGAUAUUAGGAAGAACACCAGUGGCGAAGGCGGCUUGCUGGACUGAAACUGACGCUGAGGCACGAAAGCGUGGGGAGCGAACAGGAUUAGAUACCCUUGUAGUC
rnacentral:rRNA from 1 species